GCCGACGUAGCUCAGCGGUAGAGCAGCGGUUUUGUAAACCGUUGGUCGCCGGUUCAAUUCCGGCCGUCGGCUCCA
rnacentral:tRNA from 1 species